AUGACUCAUUUUUCUUCCUCCUGGCCCCCCUCCCCCCACCCCAAAUCCCCUUUCCUCCUCUCUAUUUAUCCACCUUUACUAACUCCAAUAUUUCCCACUUCUUUAGUCAUUACCCCUCAAAAUACAGAGAGAAAACACACAAACACAAGCAGCUCUUUUUGCUCGUCAUGGGAAAUUAUAGGUUUAGAUUAUCAGAUAUGAUGACAAAUGCUUGGUUUUACAAGCUCAAGGACAUGAGCAAAAUCAGCAGCAACAAAAGCAAAGGGCAUAACCACACCACCUCAAUUUCUUCAACAUCAUCAUUCUCAGCAUCAAAUCUUCAAUCAGACCAAAAAAUAAAACAACCCCACAUCACUACUUACCCAAGAAAAUCAUAUUACAUUUCAAGAAACCUUAGUCCAACAAAUAAUAACCAUGAAAUAUUUUCCCAAAAUCCUUCCUCAAACAACCCAAAACUCUCUGACAAUAAUAUUAAUUUUUCAAAGAAAAGGCGUAGCACUACAAGGAGAAGAAUUAAUUCUCCUAAAAUUGUCACUUCUUCUGUUUCAGCUAGUUGCAGUUGCCGUGCUUCUCUUGAAUCAGUUUGGACUAAACCUGAUUCCACCCCUGAAGAUUAUCCAAAUUCACCUAAUGCCCCCUCAUCUUCUUCUUCUGAAACAUUAGACCCCAUAAUUUCACUUUCACCAUCUUGUGGUUGCAGAGUUAAUGAAAUGAACAAAGAUUCUCUCAAUUAUGAUCAUGGGUUUACGUCUAUUUCCAAAAUUGACCUUCCCCCGAUUAUAACCAAACCCAAAAAGUUCAACGGUUCGGCCCAAGAAAAGGAUGAAAAACAGAGGAUUUCUACAGUGAGAAGAGUGUCAGUGAGUUCAACAACUGGUGUGAAGCUAAGAACAAACUCUCCAAAAAUAACAAACAGCAAGAAAAUUCAAGGAGUUAGCAGAAAGAGUGUUAGUUCAAGAAGGAGUAGUAGUAGUGUUUCAGAAAGUUUUGCAGUGGUGAAAUCAUCUAAAAAUCCACAGAAAGAUUUUAGAGAGUCAAUGGUGGAGAUGAUAAUGGAAAAUAAUAUAAGGACUUCAAAGGAUUUGGAAGAACUUCUUGCUUGUUAUCUUUCUUUGAAUUCAGAUGAGUAUCAUGAUCUUAUCAUUAAAGUGUUCAAGCAAAUUUGGUUUGACAUCACUGAUAUUCGGCUAAAGUAAAUAUAAAAAGACGAGUAUGCUGGAAUUUUUAUAAGGUAUGUCAAUAUUUGAAAAAGUGAACGAAUGAAUAAAUUAAUGUAACAACAAGUGGUAUCAUUUUUUAUAUUUUUAUCCAAUAUUUUAAUUUUAUUUAUACAUACAAAUUGCAAAAAAUUCUGAUAAAGCGGUGUCAUGUGAUACCGCUUCAAGCAAGGUGCUUACGUUCUUGGCUGAACCACAAGAGUUUAUUGUACGCAAUCUUACCCUAUAUUUCUGCAAGAAGCUGUUUCAAGGCUAAAAUCCGUGACCUAAAGAUGACAUGGCAGUUAUGUCUAAGGCUCCCUUUCAAGGCUAACGUAAAUAUGAAUGUAUUCUUUCCUUUUCUCAUAGUUAUGAUAUGUGUAUUAUAGUAAAAAAUUCAUAACGUCGUUCCUCCAUUGUUAAUUAGAGUUCUCACUUUGAGCCAAUGAGUUUGAACGUGGAAUGAAGAAAACAAACAAAGGUACAAAAUCCAAUCUUGUAACAAUAUAAUCUGUCUGACUAUGACGUGCUCUUGUACAUGAAUGGAUUAGUACGUGUUCUCUGCUGGUAAUGGAGGUAAAAGUCUUACGCCAAAACAAACGCACCUUCGCCGAAAUUUUAAUUUGAUUAUUUGCUCUAGUAUAUGAUCACUUAUUGAAUAUUUCACUAUUAUGUCUCUUGGUCUCUUUUUUAUAUUCUUUUAUUUUCUGUUUAUAUUUAUACUAUUUUCUUAUUAGUUC
rnacentral:lncRNA from 1 species